rnacentral:rRNA from 1 species
UAGGGAAUCUUCGGCAAUGGACGAAAGUCUGACCGAGCAACGCCGCGUGAGUGAAGAAGGUUUUCGGAUCGUAAAACUCUGUUGGUAGAGAAGAACGUUGGUGAGAGUGGAAAGCUCAUCAAGUGACGGUAACUACCCAGAAAGGGACGGCUAAAUACGUGCCAA